GCUCAGUAACACGUGGAUAACCUACCCUUAGGACUGGGAUAACCCUGGGAAACUGGGGAUAAUACUAGAUAGGCAAUUUUUCCUGGAAUGGUUUUUUGUUUAAAUGUUUUUUCGCCUAAGGAUGGGUCUGCGGCCGAUUAGGUAGUUGGUUAGGUAACGGCUUACCAAGCCAUUGAUCGGUACGGGUUGUGAGAGCAAGAGCCCGGAGAUGGAACCUGAGACAAGGUUCCAGGCCCUACGGGGUGCAGCAGGCGCGAAACCUCCGCAAUGUGAGAAAUCGCGACGGGGGGAUCCCAAGUGCCAUUCUUAACGGGAUGGCUUUUCAUUAGUGUAAAGAGCUUUUGGAAUAAGGGCUGGGCAAGACCGGUGCCAGCCGCCGCGGUAACACCGGCAGCUCUAGUGGUAGCAGUUUUUAUUGGGCCUAAAGCGUCCGUAGCCGGUUUAAUAAGUCUCUGGUGAAAUCCUGUAGCUUAACUGUGGGAAUUGCUGGAGAUACUAUUAGACUUGAGACCGGGAGAGGUUAGAGGUACUCCCAGGGUAGAGGUGAAAUUCUGUAAUCCUGGGAGGACCGCCUGUUGCGAAGGCGUCUAACUGGAACGGUUCUGACGGUGAGGGACGAAAGUUAGGGGCGCGAACCGGAUUAGAUACCCGGGUAGUCCUAACUGUAAACGAUGCGGACUUGGUGUUGGGGUGGCUUUGAGCUGCUCCAGUGCCGAAGGGAAGCUGUUAAGUCCGCCGCCUGGGAAGUACGGUCGCAAGGCUGAAACUUAAAGGAAUUGGCGGGGGAGCACCACAACGCGUGGAGCCUGCGGUUUAAUUGGAUUCAACGCCGGACAUCUCACCAGAGGCGACAGCUGUAUGAUAGCCAGGUUGAUGACUUUGCUUGACUAGCUGAGAGGAGGUGCAUGGCCGCCGUCAGCUCGUACCGUGAGGCGUCCUGUUAAGUCAGGCAACGAGCGAGACCCACGCCCUUAGUUACCAGCAUGUCCUUUUUUUGGAUGAUGGGCACACUAAGGGGACCGCCUAUGAUAAAUAGGAGGAAGGAGUGGACGACGGU
rnacentral:rRNA from 1 species